GACAGAGGGUGCAAACGUUGUUCGGAAUUACUGGGCGUAAAGCGCGUGUAGGCGGUCAGGCAAGUCGGAUGUGAAAUCCCGUGGCUCAACUACGGAAGUGCGCCCGAAACUGCUUGACUUGAGUCCCGGAGAGGAAGGCGGAAUGCUUGGUGUAGAGGUGAAAUUCGUAGAUAUCAAGCGGAACACCGGUGGCGAAGGCGGCCUUCUGGACGAGGACUGACGCUGAGACGCGAAAGCGUGGGGAGCAAACAGG
rnacentral:rRNA from 1 species